UACAGAGGGGGCAAGCGUUGUUCGGAAUUACUGGGCGUAAAGGGCGCGUAGGCGGCCUUCUAAGUCAUGCGUGAAAUCCCCGGGCUCAACCCGGGAACUGCGUCUGAUACUGGAAGGCUUGAAUCCGGGAGAGGGAUGUGGAAUUCCAGGUGUAGCGGUGAAAUGCGUAGACAUCUGGAGGAACACCGGUGGCGAAGGCGGCAUCCUGGACCGGCAUUGACGCUGAGGCGCGAAAGCCAGGGGAGCAAACGGG
rnacentral:rRNA from 1 species